UACGUAGGGGGCUGGCGUUGUCCGGAAUCAUUGGGCGUAAAGAGCGUGUAGGCGGCCCGGUAAGUCCGCUGUGAAAGUCGGGGGCUCAACCCUCGAAUGCCGGUGGAUACUGUCGGGCUAGAGUGCGGAAGAGGCGAGUGGAAUUCCUGGUGUAGCGGUGAAAUGCGCAGAUAUCAGGAGGAACACCGAUUGCGAAGGCAGCUCGCUGGGACGUCACUGACGCUGAGACGCGAAAGCGUGGGGAGCAAACAGG
rnacentral:rRNA from 1 species